GGUCCUUCCCCAGAGCUACAUCUGCAAAAGGCACACCUGGCAGGAAGAAUCUUCGAUGCCCAGGCAGCUUGGCAGAGGAAGAGCUCAGAGGAGCCCAGUGCCCAGCAGCGACCUGUCCCUCUGUCAGCAGAAACUACCAGAAAGCAGAUACUUUAGCCUGAGGAGCAGAGACGACAAGGAGAGAGAAAGUGGGGUUUUUCUCCGGCUGGCCCAGCUGCCCGGCGGACACAGAGUGGGACGCACGAAGUGUGUCGCAAUGUGGACAAGGGACGUCGCAAGUUCUCAACAGCUACCUGUGCCUGGUGGCUCUGAUUUUGGACAGAGCAGGACUAGACUCUUCUUGGAAAAGUAAGCUAAAGCAGAAACUUCCAGAUUGCCAGACCGAUGAAAUGUCUUCCUCUUGAGCGUAUUGGGAUGAGCUGAGGUUCAUCUUAUAAGUUAAUUACGGGCUUUUCAGCCCCGUCACUUGCUCUCUCUCCUGGCAAUAGGAGGCAGGGGCCACUCGGACCCCAAACCCCUGGUCCUCCGUCUCUCGAGAGAAGUAUCUUUUUGGUUGAUGUCAUUCCAUUUCUAAAGUUCCCCGGGUGUUCGGUGCUAAGGUCUCUCUGGGCGUUCACACCUCCUUUUAGGAGUUGCUAGGUCUUCCCGACAGAAGGCCACAUAAGGCUAAAUAAGGGGCGGGAGCUGGAGAAA